rnacentral:rRNA from 1 species
GCAAGUCGAGGGGCAGCGGGAUUGAAGCUUGCUUCAAUUGCCGGCGACCGGCGCACGGGUGAGUAACGCGUAUCCAACCUUCCGUACACUCAGGGAUAGCCUUUCGAAAGAAAGAUUAAUACCUGAUGGUAUGAUGAGAUUGCAUGAUAGCAUCAUUAAAGAUUUAUCGGUGUACGAUGGGGAUGCGUUCCAUUAGGUAGUAGGCGGGGUAACGGCCCACCUAGCCAACGAUGGAUAGGGGUUCUGAGAGGAAGGUCCCCCACAUUGGAACUGAGACACGGUCCAAACUCCUACGGGAGGCAGCAGUGAGGAAUAUUGGUCAAUGGACGUGAGUCUGAACCAGCCAAGUAGCGUGAAGGAUGAAGGUCUUACGGAUUGUAAACUUCUUUUAUAAGGGAAUAAAACCUCCCACGUGUGGGAGCUUGUAUGUACCUUAUGAAUAAGCAUCGGCUAACUCCGUGCCAGCAGCCGCGGUAAUACGGAGGAUGCGAGCGUUAUCCGGAUUUAUUGGGUUUAAAGGGAGCGCAGACGGGUCGUUAAGUCAGCUGUGAAAGUUUGGGGCUCAACCUUAAAAUUGCAGUUGAUACUGGCGUCCUUGAGUGCGGUUGAGGUGUGCGGAAUUCGUGGUGUAGCGGUGAAAUGCUUAGAUAUCACGAAGAACUCCGAUUGCGAAGGCAGCACACUAAGCCGUAACUGACGUUCAUGCUCGAAAGUGUGGGUAUCAAACAGGAUUAGAUACCCUGGUAGUCCACACGGUAAACGAUGGAUACUCGCUGUUGGCGAUAUACGGUCAGCGGCUUAGCGAAAGCGUUAAGUAUCCCACCUGGGGAGUACGCCGGCAACG